GAUGAACGCUAGCGGCGGGCUUAAUACAUGCAAGUCGAGCGGACGCAGGACUGUAGCAAUACAGUUGCUGGAGACCGGCAAGCGGGUGCGGAACAUGUACGCAACCUAUCCAAAACUGGGGGAUAGCCGGGGGACACCCGGAUUUAUACCUCGUAAUCUUUUUAAGUAGCGUCACUUGAUAAGUAUCGCUCCUGCGGUUUUGGAUGGGCGUGUGCCUGAUUAGGUAGUUGGUGGGUGUAACAGCCCACCAAGACUGCGAUCAGUAACUGGUGUGAGAGCAGGACCAGUCACACGGGCACUGCGACACGGGCCCGACUCCGACGGGAGGCAGCAGUAAGGAAUGUUAGGCAAUGGACGCAAGUCUGAACCAGCCAUGCCGCGUGAAAGAUGAAGGUCCUCUGGAAUGUAUGCUUCUUGGAAGGAAGACGAAACCCGGAUAUUCUUAUCGGAUUGACGGUACCUAAGGAAUAAGCACCGGCUAACUCCGUG
rnacentral:rRNA from 1 species